rnacentral:rRNA from 1 species
GAUAAACGCUGGCGGCGUGCAUAACACAUGCAAGUCGAACGAAGUGGCUAACGGGUGAGUAACACGUGAGUAACCUGCCUUACACAAGGGGAUAGCCUUUGGAAACGACGAAUAAUACCCUAUAGUGUAUGGUGGACUUGCGUCUGAUUAGCUAGUUGGUGAGAUAAAGGCCCACCAAGGCAACGAUCAGUAGCCGGCUUGAGAGAGGGUACGGCCACAUUGGGACGGAGACACGGCCCAAAUUCUACGGGUGGCAGCAGUGGGGAAUUUUGCACAAUGGGGGAAAGCAUGAUGCAGCGACGCCGCGUGAUUUGGAAGACCUGCGGGUAGUAAAAAUCUUUUUUAUGGGAUGCAGUACCAUAAGAAUAAGGUCCGGCUAAAUACGUGCCAGCCGCCGCGGUAAUUC